rnacentral:rRNA from 1 species
UCUUGGGGGCAAGUCUGGUGCCAGCAGCCGCGGUAAUUCCAGCUCCAAUAGCGUAUAUUAAAGUUGUUGCAGUUAAAAAGCUCGUAGUUGAAUUUCGGGACUAAUAUGUCGGUCGUACUUUGUACGUACUAGCAUUAUUGGUUUCUCCCUUCUGACGAACCACGAUGUCAUUAAUUUGGUGUCGCGGGAAAUCAGGACUGUUACUUUGAAAAAAUUAGAGUGUUUAAAGCAAGCUCGCGCUUGAAUACAUUAGCAUGGAAUAAUGAAAUAGGACGUUUGAUUCUAUUUUGUUGGUCUCUAGGAUCGACGUAAUGAUUAAUAGGGAUAGUUGGGGGCAUUAGUAUUCAAUUGUCAGAGGUGAAAUUCUUGGAUCUAUUGAAGACUAACUACUGCGAAAGCAUUUGCCAAGGAUGUUUUCAUUAAUCAAGAACGAAAGUUAGGGGAUCGAAGACGAUCAGAUACCGUCGUAGUCUUAACCAUAAACUAUGCCGACUAGGGAUCGGAUGAUGU